rnacentral:rRNA from 1 species
UACGUUGGGCGCAAGCGUUGUCCGGAAUUAUUGGGCGUAAAGAGCUCGUAGGCGGUCUGUCGCGUCUGCCGUGAAAACCCGAGGCUUAACCUCGUGGCUUGCGGUGGAUACGGGCAGACUAGAGGUAGGUAGGGGAGAACGGAAUUCCCGGUGUAGCGGUGAAAUGCGCAGAUAUCGGGAGGAACACCGGUGGCGAAGGCGGUUCUCUGGGCCUUACCUGACGCUGAGGAGCGAAAGCGUGGGGAGCGAACAGG